rnacentral:rRNA from 1 species
GGACCUUCCUCUCAGAACCCCUACCCAUCGUUGCCUUGGUGGGCCGUUACCCCGCCAACAAGCUAAUGGGACGCAUCCCCAUCCUUUACCAAUUAAUCUUUAUUUGUCGCUCCCAUGCGGAAGAACAAACACAUCCGGUAUUAAACUUCCUUUCAGGAGACUAUCCCGGAGUAAAGGGCAGGUUGG